GAGCUGCAGUGGCGGGGAGUGGGGUGCGGAUCUUGUGUUUGCGCACGCAGUCGCCGGCCACCUCAGGCCGGAGCUAGAGAUACGGCUCGGGAUAGGAGGGCCCGGCGGCUCUGAGGCAGGUUCGCCUCGAGCCGCACGGCCCGGAGCAGCGGCUCCGCGGUGGUCCCCGGGGCUUGAGAGGGGUGCGGGCCUGGGAGCCCCUGAGGGCCUGAUUUACGGAACUCCCCCUCCUUCCUCCUUUCUGCCGUUCCCUGCUCUGUGGCGGAUGCGCAGGGAUCAGUAGGGACGGCAGCAGUAGGGCCACUCGGGCCUGCCCCGCUUCCCGCAUUGCCCGGUUUGGCGCGCCGCCUCCGGGCCUUGGCAAAGCCCCAGCGCCCGAUUGUCACUGACCAGUGCUUGGAAGUCCUUUACCGACUGCCCGUCAGCGUCCCGCGGAGAGGAUUUUGCGUCUCCAAAGACGCCCCUCUUCCGAAAACAGGCUCCUCUGUGUUCUCAGUCGGGUAUAUUUUUCUGUCUCCAAACUAGAUUGGCAGCCGUUUUUUGAGAGCAGGGUCUUGCUCUGUUGCCCAGACUGGAGUGCAGUGGCGCCAUCUCAGCUGACUGCAGAUUCAACCUUCUGAGCUCACGAAAUCCUCCCAUCUCAACCUCCUGAGUAGCUGGGACCACAGGAUGGCACCUGACUUGAAGAUAGCACCUGACUUGAAGAUGGCACCUGACUAGCAUUUGGACUGGUUUGCAGGCUGAGCACAGGGUUGCUCCAGGUGGGCCCAAAUGCUGAAGAGCCUCAUGUUAGAGUUUUUCACCUCUGCGAUGGAACUGUGGUGGACUCCAGUAUCAUCAUUCCAGGGAGGCAUAGCCGCACCAACUGUGUUCCCAGGUUUCACAUGGAGAAGGGUUUUAGAAAGUGCAGAUAGCCUUGAAACCAUUGGUUUCCUACCACUGUUUAUUUCAGCAUAACUUUUUUUGUGUGGAAUGCUAGCUCUGGAAGAGCAGAAAUAAAUACAGCUUAAGCUUUGAAC
rnacentral:lncRNA from 1 species